GGACGGAUGGCUGAGUCUGGUCGAAGGCACCGGUUUUGAAAACCGGCGUAGGGGUAACUCUACCGGGGGUUCGAAUCCCUCUCCGUCCG
rnacentral:tRNA from 1 species